rnacentral:lncRNA from 1 species
UUUUUUUUUUUUUUUUUUUUUUUAAGUGGGGGAGUUCCCCUCGUGGCACAGUGGAAACGAACCCAACUAGUAUCCAUGAGGACGCGGGUUCAAUCCCUGGCCUUGCUCAGUGGGUUAAGGAUGUGCUAUUGCCGUGAGCUGUGGUGUAGGUCACAGAUGUGGCUCUGUUCUGGUAUUGCUGUGGCUGUGGUGUAGGCCAGGAUCGAACCCGCAACCUCAUGGUUCCUAGUCGGAUUCGUUUCCUCUGUGCCACAACGGGAACUCUGCCUGCGAUGCUUCUUACCAAGACCCUCCAUAAGGCUGAUGACGUUACCUUCCGGCUCAAUUUUGUGAAACCACUUCUGGGGCAGUGGGAGUGGUCUAUAGUCCAGGCACCUUGACUCAGGAGUAGAAUCGGGCAGGAGGAAGAGCAGAUAGACGGUACGCCCCCCGACGCCAGCCCCACACCAGGCACGACUGAAGUUCCUCGCCAUGAAGCAGGGCUCUGCCUGGACCAGCACGGUUCAAGGCCAACAGCACAGGCCGCGGUCCUGGGUCUGGAUCUGUCCUGGUCGGAACACCCCCUCCCAGAGAGCUUCUCUGGAGAAGCCAAGCACCCACCAAACCUCAUCAAUGCGUGUUUUUCCGAGCAGCCCGCACCAUUCCACAGCCCACCUGCACCCUGGCUACAGCCAGGCGCUGGAGAAGAGCCCCAACAAGCCACACUUCCCACACAGCCUCUUAAGAGACGCACUUUUGCAGCUGGGUGCUCUCUGGCCAAGCACGCUGAAUGGCCCUGGAUGACACUGAACGGAAAAGGGCAGCACCGACUCCUGCUUCCAGGGAGCUGAACGUCCUGCCUGCCAGACCCCAGCAUCGCACCUGCAGCAUCCCACCUGCCAGGCCCCAGCAUCCCAGCAUCCCACCAACCCUUGGCUGGUCCUUUCCACCUUCGGAAAUGCCCAGUCUUAACAGCAUGACCCCCCAGCACCCGCAAGGCUUCCCCUCCCCCAGCCUGUGAUACGAGCGCAGGUUCUGGCUUCUCCUACAUAACCUGUGUCCUGGGUGGGGUCAUGUCCCCCCCCAGAUUCACGUCCUUCCAGACUGUGACCUUAUUUGGAAACGGAGUCAUUGUGGGAAUAAUGAAUUAAGAGGAGGUCCUGGAGCAGGGCGGGCCUUGACCCAAUGUGGCCAUUGUCCUUAGAAGGAGAGGACAAGAAGCGCACGGACACGGACUCACGGGGAGAGAAGGCCACCCCGCAGAUGGAGCACAGACAGGAGCCAAGGAUGCCAGGGACUGAUGGCAACACCAGAAGCUGAGACAAAGACAUGGAACAGCUCCUGCCCAGACCCUUCAGAGGGGCCCUGGCCUCUUUGUUUCUUUUUUAAAAAAAAUCUUAUGGCUGAAUUUACAGCAUAUGGAUGUUUCCAAGCCACGGAUUGAAUCCAAGCUGCAGCUGCAGCAACGCCGGAUCCUUUAACCCAUUGCACCAGGCAGGGGAUCGAACCUGCACCUCCACAGAGACCUGAGCCAUUGCAGUUGGAUUUUUAACCCCCACUGCGCCACAGCAGGAACUCCCCUGCUGACUUCCUGAUUUGGGUUUCUGGCCGCUGGAACCGUCUGUUGUUUAAGCCACCCAGUUGGGGGACUUUGCGAUAGCUGCCCCAGGAAUUAACACAACCUAGCUCCAUUGUAACCAACGCAGGCACGACGCCACCUCUGGAGAACCAGGACACCUGCUGGAGGUCUGGCCUGCCGUCCCCUCCUCCUGGAGGUGGUGCUUGAUGGAAUGUUUGAGAAUUUCGAUCCUGGUCAAGGCAACUCAGGGCGUGCGGACAUGGGUGCUAGACUGUUUCUCCCCAGCUGGCUUCAUAUUUAUGCUUCCCCACAGCGCGCCACCUGUCCUGUCUACCGUGUCAUGUGACAUUUGGGUGCUUAGGCGGAGGUUCGGUCAUGGGGGCGGGGAUGACUUGAGGGGUGCUACGAUCAACACCCCAAAGCACUAAGAAAAUAAAACAGUUGCCCACCCUUUCCUGACAAGUCACGGAGGCUGGAAUGGAGCUCGGGGCUGGCCUUGAAGCUCAGGACGGCUCCAGCCUACAGGUCUUGCUGCAAACGCAGCCUGGCGAGGAAGGAGGCCCGCUCCAGCCCUGACACCUAAGAGCAAGUCUGUCUUCCAAAUCGCUGUCUUCCUGGAUAGGAACUUUCUGUGUCACCAGCAAGAGUCACAGGAAGAGGGAGCUUCCCUAAGACACGGCAAAGGAGAAAAGCCACUCCGCCCGCCUUCCGGUGGCCUCGCCUGCUUCCAAUCACCACUGACAGUGCUGGACUGGGAAUAGUUUUAGCCUUGGAUCACAAAUCCUCGUGAGCCUAAAGCACUCUCUCUUAAACACACAUUUCUCUAACCAAUCAACCCCAGCUACCCUGGCCUCAAACGGAAAGCCAGAAUCUGCCAGACACGGGUACACUCAAGUCCCCCAAACACCAGGCCCCAAGCCCUACCAGGCCCCGGACUCAACCUCAGCUGCACCCCGCUACUGUUUUCCAGAGGAGGCUGGAGGCCGGCGCUCCGCGUGGCUGUCCUCACACGCCAUCCUGUGAGUAUCGGGAUGCCAACCCCACCAGCCGCGCCAUACCCACCAGACCGGGUGGAUUUGUGCAGGAAGAAAGCGCCCGGUGGCAAGUGAUAUUCUGGAGAUCCGUUUGUUCUUGGGGGACAGACACAGGCGCAAAGCCCUCCCCCC